UAAUACGGGGGGUGCUAGCGUUAUUCGGAAUCAUUGGGCGUAAAGGGCGCGUAGGCGGUCUUUUAAGUCAGAUGUGAAAGCCCUCGGCUUAACCGAGGAAGUGCAUUUGAUACUAAGAGACUUGAGUAUGGGAGAGGGAAGCGGAAUUCCUGGUGUAGCGGUGAAAUGCGUAGAUAUCAGGAGGAACACCGGUGGCGAAGGCGGCUUCCUGGACCAAUACUGACGCUGAGGCGCGAAGGCGUGGGGAGCAAACAGGAUUAGAUACCCUGGUAGUCCACGCAGUAAACUGUGAACACUAGGUGUAGCGGGUAUUGACCCCUGCUGUGCCGAAGCUAACGCAUUAAGUGUUCCGCCUGGGAAGUACGGCCGCAAGGUUAAAACUUAAAGGAAUUGACGG
rnacentral:rRNA from 1 species